GUAGAGAUUACUAGGAAUACCAAAAGCGAAAGGCGAUCUUCUGGAACAGUACUGACGCUGAGAUGCGAAAGCGUGGGGAGCAAACAGGAUUAGAUACCCUGGUAGUCCACGCAGUAAACGAUGAAUGUUAGUCGUUGGUAUCCUAGAGAUAUCAGUGAUGCAGUUAACACAUUAAACAUUCCGCCUGGGGAGUACGGUCGCAAGAUUAAAACUCAAAGGAAUAGACGGGGACCCGCACAAGUGGUGGAGCAUGUGGUUUAAUUCGAAGAUACGCGAAGAACCUUACCUAGCCUUGACAUAUUUUAGAACUCACCAGAGAUGGAGAGGUGCCUUCGGGAGCUAAUUUACAGGUGCUGCACGGCUGUCGUCAGCUCGUGUCGUGAGAUGUUGGGUUAAGUCCCGCAACGAGCGCAACCCUCGUCACUAGUUACUAACGGUUCGGCCGAGGACUCUAGUGAGACUGCCUUCGUAAGGAGGAGGAAGGUGAGGACGACGUCAAGUCAUCAUGGCCCUUACGGCUAGGGCAACACACGUGCUACAAUGGUUAGGACAAUGAGAAGCAAUAUCGCGAGGUGGAGCAAAUCUAUAAACCUAAUCUCAGUUCGGAUUGUAGUCUGCAACUCGACUACAUGAAGCUGGAAUCACUAGUAAUCGUAGAUCAGCUAUGCUACGGUGAAUACGUUCCCGGGUCUUUACUCACCGCCCGUCACACCAUGGGAGUUGAUUUCACCCGAAGCGGGGAAGCUAAACUGGCUACCCUCCACGGUGGAAUUAGCGACUGGGGUGAAGUCGUAACAAGGUAACCGUAGGAGAACCUGCGGCUGGAUAACCUCCUU
rnacentral:rRNA from 1 species